AUGGCCCAAGCCAUCGUGGAGAGGGCAUGCGCGAAGCUCAGAUCCGCCAUAGGAGAUGAAGCCGUGGUGCGUUUGAACUUUACCACUGACCUGCAUGAUUUGUUGGAGGCGCUGGAGGACAUCCAGCCGUUUCUGGACAAAGCCGUGAUGCGGCCGUUCCGGGAUAGCUGGCUGUCGCUUUGGCUGGGGGGUGCCUUGAACGCCGCCUACAAGACCAUAGACACUGUGGAUGAGCUGCAGGACGCGAGAUCUGCAACGAUGACGAGAAGGAUGAAGAAUGCAUUGGCCAUCCAGGUGCAGGAGGCGAAAAAACUAGUGAUGUGGGCAUAUGAGCAGUCGCCUGAGUUAUCAUACUACUUCACGGAAAACCCCAUGCUCCACGGAAUUGCUGAUGUGGAACGAAAAACCGGACCAGUUUUUGAGGAAGCAAUGGUUCUGGAAAGAGGAUCAGAUAAACAGAGGAUAAUGGCCACCCUGCUAUCUACUGAGCCCAACACCAUGCAAGAGCACAUCACCAUUCUUCCCAUCUUUGGGCUUGCAGGCAGCGGCAAGACAACCUUGGCACAAAUGGUUUUUAAUGAUACCCACUCCGUCCAAGGCUAUGACUUCCGAGUAUGGAUUCAUGUGUUUACCAGGUUUGACUUUCAUGCAAUAGGCAACUCCAUUAUUUGUCAGGUGUUAGGAAUGGGACAAGAAGAGAUCAACCAUUCUUCUUCAGACGUGCAGGGGAUGGAAAGUAUAAUGAAGCGCCUUCACAAGCUACUUAAUGGUAAGAAGGUGCUCCUUGUUUUGGAUAGCUUGUGGGAGGAGGAUCCCAUUCAGUUACAAUUGUUGAAAUCCAUGUUAACUUUCUUGGGAGACAAGAUGGACGUAAUAGUAACCACAUGCAACCAAGCCAUUGCCAGGAAGAUAUGCACUGUUGAGCCAUAUAAGCCAAAUCGGUUGAGUGAUGACAUGUGUUGGAAAAUAAUCAAGGAUUUUAUCCCACCAUUCAAAGGGGGAGAAGAAGAGUUGGAGAAGAUUGGACGGGAGAUCGCAAGCAAGUGCCAGGGUAUACCAUCAGUAGCUCGAGCAUAUGCACCCCUGCUAGCUUCUUCCCGAAAUACUAUGACAUGGAAAGAAGCCAUGGAAAGGAAUACUUGGCUUGCAAUUUUGACUUCUCAUUUAGUAGUUCCCUUAGCCGUUUCAAGUUUCCAGCUAAGCUUCUGGAGUAUGCCACCAAAUUUGUGUCUAUGCUUUGCUUAUUAUUGUGAUAUCUUCCCAACCAGACACACUAUAUUCAAAGAUGACCUGGUUCAUCACUGGAUUGCUCUCCACCUCAUUGAGCCAUCUGAAAUAUUGUCUGCCACGCAGAUAGCUGAGGACUAUAUUACCAGGCUUCAGGACAUGUCAUUCCUUCAAACUGCAGAGUUGGACCACGCUAGUGGAAAAGACGAUAAGGGUGCAAUCUUGUUCACUAUGCACGAUGUGGUGCACGACCUUGCGACAGUGCUCCUAAAAAGGUACAGUAUUAGUCGAAGGGCAACGCGCUGUGUUGAUUGUAGCAGAGUGGAGUUUAACAGUGACUCAUUUUCACGUAAAAAAUGCAUACGUGUUCUGGAACUAAAGGACAGCUCCGUGCAGAAGCUACCGGACUCCAUCUGUCAACUGAGGCACCUGGGGUAUCUUAUGAUAUCAGAAUUCACUGGGUUGACAACUCUGCCAGAGUCCCUUGGGCAUCUGAAAAGUCUGUUCCAUAUUGAUUUAUCAGGCUGCUCCAGGCUUGCAGCUCUUCCGGAAUCAUUUGGAGAUCUCAUAAACUUGACCCAUGUCAAUCUAUCUCGAUGCCAUGGACUGGCAGAGCUUUCAGAACCACUCCAGAAGCUCCGCAAACUGGUAUACCUGGAUUUAUCGUUCUGUUCUUGUUUUGAAGGGAUAGGGGAAGGCCUUCGCCGCCUCACCAAUCUGGAGCAUUUGAACUUGUCGAAUCCUUGCUGUUAUGUUGCUCAACACCAUUCUCAUCUCCAGGGGCUAAAAGAUGGUUUGUGCAAGCUCACCAAACUCCGGUAUCUGAACUUGUCAAUGUGCCUGAACCCUAUCUUUUACUGCCACAAGUCGCAAGAGGACAGUCUCAAAUACCUUCAAGAGUGUGUCAGCGGUCUUUCUAGGCUAGAGCAUUUGGACCUGUCUCAUAACACAUUUCUUUUUGAUCUGCCUGAAAGUCUAGGUAACAUCAGCAGGCUACACACACUGGAUCUCUUAGGCUGCAUCAGAAUCAAGAAGGUAGGUGAAACGAAGUGUCUCAAGAUUAUAAUAGAUCUGAGCAAAUGCCGGGGUCUGGAAAGUUGCCAACUUGUAGUCCGUGUUGAUGAAGUGGCAUGCAGCAACACAAGCAGCCUUGCCCAACUCGAGGUUGUGGACUGUAAAGAGCUGGAGAUAAGCUGCCUUGAGAGGCUGAAGUCUCUGGACGAAGCACGGAGGAUAAGAUUAGUGGAGAAACAAAAGGUAGAAAGGUUGAAGCUCUGCUGGACAGUUGGUGCCGCUCAAGGAUCAAUGCAGGUGGAGGAAAAUGCUCUGUUAGGAGAACUAGUGCCACCACAUUCUCUACAGUGCCUCCAGAUAUGUGGCUAUGGUGGCGAAACCUGCCUCCCUGCCUGGCGGAUACCAAGCAUAUCAUAUCAUCUCCGUAAUCUUACAGAGGUUACCAUGGAGGACUUCUCGAGGUGCAUUGUACUGCCGCCGCUGGGUCUGUUUCCAAACCUCCAGCGCCUUGUUCUCAGAAGGAUGGCCAGAAUCACAAGGAUCGAUGCCGGUGAACUGAGUGGAGGCAACAAAGAGGCAUUCACUCGACUCUCCAAAUUCACCAUAGAUGAUAUGGAGAACCUGAAAGAGUUUGAGUUUGCCGCUGUUGAUGAGCUGGCGAUUCAGAAAUGCCCCUUGUUGAGCUGUGGAUCUCUACCACCCAGAGCUCAGAGGUUGCUGAUAUCAGACUGUGAGCAACUAAUGUCUUCAUCGGUAGGAGGAAUAGAUGGUGUGGAGGGUCCUUCUGCUCCAGUAACUGAACUGGUGGUCCAAACCUGCAACUUGGCUUUAGGUGACUGGAGUUUGCUUCACCACCUCCCUGGUCUCUGCAGCUUGACUAUCAACAACUGCUACAAUCUAACCAGCUCACCGGAGAUUAUCAGCGCCCUGUCCUCUCUCCAGUCACUAUGUUUCUAUCAGUGCCAUGAGCCUAUGGAAUCACUACCAGUGUUCUUGUGUGACCUCACCUCCCUCCAGCAACUUGCGAUCGAUGAGUGCCAUGGCGUUCAAUCUUUGCCGGAGGACAUGUUAGCCAAGCUAACUAGCCUCGAAGCUCUGUAUAUUUGGGACUGUCCUGAAUUGAAGGAGUGGUGUGAAUCAGAGGAGAACAAACAGAAGCUCGCUCACAUCCUAAUAAAAUUUGAAAAAUUUGGUACGAGCAAGACUGGCGUGCAUCCCCCAGAAAUGUAA
rnacentral:rRNA from 1 species